AUUGAACGCUGGCGGCAGGCCUAACACAUGCAAGUCGAACGGCAGCACAGAAGAGCUUGCUCUUUGGGUGGCGAGUGGCGGACGGGUGAGUAAUGUCUGGGAAACUGCCCGAUGGAGGGGGAUAACUACUGGAAACGGUAGCUAAUACCGCAUAACGUCGCAAGACCAAAGUGGGGGACCUUCGGGCCUCACCCCAUCGGAUGUGCCCAGAUGGGAUUAGCUAGUAGGUGGGGUAAUGGCUCACCUAGGCUACGAUCCCUAGCUGGUCUGAGAGGAUGACCAGCCACACUGGAACUGAGACACGGUCCAGACUCCUACGGGAGGCCGCAGUGGGGAAUAUUGCACAAUGGGCACAAGCCUGAUGCAGCCAUGCCGUGUGUAUGAAGAAGUCCUUCGGGUUGUAAAGUACUUUCAGCGGGGAGGAAGGCGGUGAGGUUAAUAACCUUGCCGAUUGACGUUACCCGCAGAAGAAGCACCGGCUAACUCCGUGCCAGCCGCCGCAGUAAGAC
rnacentral:rRNA from 1 species